UGCCGCAGCCGUGGUAAUACCGGCAGCCCGAGUGAUGGCCGAUCUUAUUGGGCCUAAAGCGUCCGUAGCUGGCUGCGCAAGUCCGUCGGGAAAUCCACUCGCCCAACGAGUGGGCGUCCGACGGAAACUGCACAGCUUGGGACCGGAAGGCUCGAAGGGUACGUUCGGGGUAGGAGUGAAAUCCCAUAAUCCCGCACGGACCACCGAUGGCGAAAGCACUUCGAGAAAACGGAUCCGACAGUGAGGGACGAAAGCCAGGGUCUCCAACCGGAUUAGAAACCCGAGUGUCC
rnacentral:rRNA from 1 species